AUUAGAACUAAUGUUAUAGGAGGACGUGACAGCGAAAAUACGACGCCGUAAAACCGCUUUUGGUUUCUUCACUUCCCCUUCCCCUUCCCCGAUUGUCCUCCUUCAAACCCAGAUCAGUCGUCAAAUCUCUCUCCUUGUCUCUCUCCCUCUCUCUCUCACACACACAAUGGAUUCUCACAUUUACGGAAGUUUCCGCCUGUUAUUUAUCCUAGCGCUGCUCUGUCUGCAAUCUAGGGCCGAUGACAGUGGCUCGGUUUUCUUCCUCGAUAGCUCAAUUCACCAAUAUCUUCGUCCUCAUUCAUCGGAUUCUAUUGCAAAUAGAGAUUCAAUGUUGCUCCCUGAAGUUGGUGCUGCUGUGUCAGUCUUGCUUGGUUUUGCACCACCUGCCACACUCUCAGCUGCUAGUUCAUUGAAGCUGAAUGAGGUGCUCAUGCCUAAUCCAUUUGAUAGGCCUCGCUCUGUUUUAAUGCUAGAAGUCAAAGGAAUUGAAGAUUCUCAGCACAUGAUUGAUUCUGUUAGUGAUUUAUUCGGUAGUUCCCUUAAGAGAGAGGUUAUUUUUGGUUCAAAUAAAGCUGACAUUCAACUUCCAGAUGAAGGUGAAGUAUCUGUGGUCUCUCUGAAUAGACCCUUAAGUUUUGAUUCUGAUGUAGAAUGUACCGACAAAGAGCUAAAGGAUUUUGCAUCUUGGUUGGAUGGUUCAUAUGUUACUAACACCUUGGAAUCAUUGAAUGGAGAGUUGACCAUCCCCUUGAGUAACGGUGCCCACUUGAAACUUCAUAUGUCAAAGAAAGCUGACAGAGAAUUUACAGUAAGUCUCGUGUCUCUCAUCCGUAAUAUCAUAAGGGCAAUGGAGAUGCAUCAAGAUUUGUCUGGAAGUAUGCGCAGUCCAGCUGAGUUAGUGACAGGAAGUUUUGAUGGCAUUGAGGCUUUGCAGAAUGAAUAUGGAAGUGAACGUGUUACCCAGCAAGGAUUGGAAUUAUUCCUCGCUUCACUUACCAAGAUACAUAAUUCUUUGCAGACAGCAUACAAAGGCCAAAUUGUUGGAGUCAUCUUAUUUAAUGGAACACCACCUUCAAAGUCAGAAAUGAUGUUGAAUACCGUAGUUACCUCGCGUCCAUCUCCACGUUGGCUGGAGGAAAUAAAAGGCUCAACUAAUUCAACCGCUGUUGCAGAAGUGAUGUUGGUUAGACGAAUCCUUGCAUGGAUAACAGGAAUCAUUCUUAUCAUUGCCACUCUCCUAGGGAUUUACUUCCUUACGUAUAUGCCACUCACAAGGGACACACUUCUGUAUUCUAAUGUCAAACUUGACUAAGAGUUUAUAGAAGAUAUUUUUUGGAACUGCAGAAAGAGGUCCAGGUUGCCAUCAAACCUGCUUUGAAUUCAAUAUUUCUCAUGUGCACCGGUAGCUGGAUGAAUGGUGAAAAUCUGAUAUAAAGAGACAAGUGGUGGUAAACUUGAACUUCUCUGUUUAUCAUAUGAUAAAGUGUGCGUUCUGAGCAGUAGGGAGUGGGGAUGAAGUCAAGAGCUAAGGUGGUCUGUCAUUGUAUGUAUUUGGUUGCCUAGUGUUUGAAUUAUUUUUUUUUCUUUCCUGUAUGCAAACUGGAAUAAUGCAAAUCCAGGAAUUUCAACUUCAUUUUUCUGCACUGGGGUUUGGUUAUAAACAUAUCAUAUAACUCCUGAUACUAUAAUCACAUUUACUAUGUAUUUCUAGACUAUAGUUUUUUUUCUUUGUUUGAAAUUUAGGAUGUUGCUGCCAAAUUUACUCUUUUGGUCAGAGCACUCAACCGAAAUUUCAAUUGCCCAUUUGCUAUUUUAUGCAA